GAUGAAGAACGUAGCGAAAUGCGAUAAGUAAUGUGAAUUGCAGAAUUCAGUGAAUCAUCGAAUCUUUGAACGCACAUUGCGCCCCCUGGUAUUCCGGGGGGCAUGCCUGUUCGAGCGUCAUUACAACCCUCAAGCUCUGCUUGGUAUUGGGCCCCGCCAGUUCUGGCGGGCCCUAAAGUCAGUGGCGGUGCCUUCCGGCUCCGAGCGUAGUAAUUCUUCUCGCUCUGGAGACCCGGUUGUGUGCUUGCCAACAACCCCCAAUUUUUUAAGGUUGACCUCGGAUCAGGUAGGGAUACCCGCUGAACUUAAGCACAUCAAUAAGCGGAGGA
rnacentral:misc_RNA from 1 species